rnacentral:lncRNA from 1 species
AAAUUCAUCAGACUCUGACAUCACAGGCAGCUGCCUAUGUUUUCAUUGCUGUGUCUCAGGAGCACACAGAUUGUUCACUAUGGAGAGAAAGGGGCUGUAGGGUCUUCUCAUCAGAGGGGGAGCUCAGCCUGUGGGCCCAGCACGUGACCUCACUUCCUUGGCGAUAGGUCCAAACAGAACUUGGAACCCUGCGGUGACUGGGCAGCACAGUCUAGCGGUGGCUGCCUCCCUAAUCACUUGGCUGUAGACAGUCAGGGGAGAACAUGCUGUGCUGCUUUCCCAGGCCUCAAGGUGGAAGGCGCAGGACCCCACGCAGGGAGAGCACGUGGGCACGAGUGCGAAGGUGGAUCGCUCGGCCCAGGCUCUUCGGGCCACGGGGCAGGAACCGCCCAACUGCCGUGGGCAGCACAGCGCGGGUCUCCCCAGACCCAGCGACCACGGGCUCAGAGAUAAGAGGGAGCCCACAGCGGGUCUCCCUGGGCCUGGACAGGAGCCACUUGGAGCCACCAAGCCCAGGACAGGUCCACUUAGGCUCGGUCGGCACUAUUGGAAACCAGGCAGCCGAGAGCCCGGCAGAGGUCUGCACAGAGAGGACGGAGCUGGCAGGUGCAGACACACAGCGCACCCUGACGGAGCUCCCGGAGCAGGCUUCCCUGGACAGCGGCCCCGUCAGCAGGCCCUGCUUCCCAGAGGGCUCCAGGGCCAACACUUCCUCCUCACAGGACCUCAUGGUGGGAAGGUCCAUGUCCUCCAUCCUUGACUCCUUGCUGAAGCUGCACUCCCAGGUGCACCACACAGCCAAGCUUCUUCUGGCCCAGCUGGAGCAGGCUGAGCUCACUGAGGCAGAGCCCAGGGCCCCAGGGCCAGCUCCAGCCCAAGCUGAAGUCCCGCCUGCGGAGUCCGUGCCAGCUCCACCGGCAUCUCCCUCCCCGGCUCUGGCCCCACAGCGAGAGCCAGUGCCAGGAAGCCCUUGUGCGCCAGCUGUAGGGCUGGGGCUCCUGGUGGCGCCACAGCAGGGGUCAGCUCCCGAGCUUCCCCUGGGACCAGCGCCUGCCCCACCCCUGCCCUCCCCAUGCAUCACUGUUGCACAUGUUUUGAUGUUUACUUUUGCUUUCUUUUUCUGGGUUUACGUAAACAAUAGAUUUUUUUUAAAAUAA